rnacentral:rRNA from 1 species
UACGGAGGGGGCGAGCGUUAUUCGGAAUUAUUGGGCGUAAAGGGCGCGUAGGCGGCCCGGUAAGUCAAAGGUGAAAUCCCUCGGCUCAACUGAGGAACUGCCUUUGAAACUGUCGGGCUUGAGGCCGGGAGGGGGUAGCGGAAUUCCCAGUGUAGCGGUGAAAUGCGUAGAUAUUCGGAGGAACACCAGUGGCGAAGGCGGCUCACUGGCUCGGUACUGACGCUGAGGUGCGAAAGCGUGGGGAGCAAACAGG